rnacentral:lncRNA from 1 species
GCCAUUAAUCACAAUGGGAUUAAGCACAUCAUCCCUCUAAUAGCCACGAAGGAUUCAUCCACUGAGUCUAAAAUACCAUCUGGCUGCUAUUCCUCUUCCUCAUUUCUAGCCCUUCCUCAGUGCUCACCUCCAGAAUUAGAGAACUUAAUCACGGAUUUAUGGAUAAAGCACUCACACUUCUGAAACAGAAGUGAAUUAUCAGCAGUCCAAGAACUCGCAGCCUGUGAUCUCCAUGAAUUGUCUCCCAGUACAGAUUUUAAUUCUUCACUCUCAGCCAACGUGGCUGAAACUUUGGCCCGUGUCGAGCUGCCCACACAGCGCCCUAACGGCUCCUUACGCGGGGAGUGGGGUGGAAAAAUCCGCGUCUCCCGGGGUCCACGAGCAGCGUGCAUGCAGCAGGAGCCGCACCGCCCCCGGGGCUGCACCGGGGCUGCACCGGGGCUGCACCGGGGCUGCACCGGGGCUCGGAGGGGGAGGUCAGCGGAGGUCGGCGGAGGUCGGUGGAGGUCGGCGGAGGUCAGCGGAGGUCGGCGGGGGUCGGGAGCCGGGCGGUGCAGCCCAGCCGGGCCCCCGGCACCCCCGCCCCCGCCCCCGCCCCGGGGCCGAGGCACAGCGGCCCCCGAGGUCCGCGCGGGCGCAGCGCAUCCCCCCGCGGGCGCGGGCGCGGGCGCGGGCGGCUCAGAGGAUCACGCAGGCCGAGCAGCAGCCCUCGUCGCCGUUGGGCUGCGCCGCGUAGUUCAUCUGCCGCACGAUCUCCGCGAACAGCUCGUCCACCGAGGCUUUGUUUUUGGCCGACGUCUCCAUGAAGGGGCAGCUCCACUCCUCGGCCAGGGCCUUGCCCUCGCCGUACGACACCUCGCGCUCGCCCUCCAGGUCCACCUUGUUGCCCACCAGGAUCAUGGGCACGCGCUCGUACCGCUUGACGCGGAUGAUCUGGUCCCGCAUGGGCUUGAUGUCCUGGAAGCUCUGCUGGUUGACCAGGCUGUAGACGAGGAUGAAGCCCUGGCCGUUCUUGAUGUACAGGUCCCGCAUGGACGCGAACUGCUCGGUGCCCGCCGUGUCCAGGAUCUCGAGCACCGACGGCGACGAGUCCACCUCGAUCUCCUUGCGGUAGAAGUCCUCGAUGGUGGGGUCGUACUUCUCGAUGAAGGAGCCGGUCACGAACUGCACGGAAAAAAAAAAAAAGAAGAAAAAAGCAAAGAGCACCCCACCUGUCAGAGGCACACCCACCUCCUGCAGCCGAGGAGAAGCCCCGCAGCACUGACCAGCGCUGAAUGUCUGCAGAAGGUCCCGCACGGCUCCUCCGCGCCGCCUCACAGGCCUUGUUACACCUGUUUUAAAGAGGAAGCAACUGAGGUCCUGGGAUGUUGGGUGACUUGCCUGCGAUUUCCCAGCGGGUGA